rnacentral:rRNA from 1 species
GAUGAACGUUGGCGGCGUGGAUUAGGCAUGCAAGUCGUGCGAGAAGCUCCAGCUUGCUGGAGUGGACAGCGGCGAAAGGGAGAGUAAUACGUAGAAAUCUGCCCUCAGGACCGGGAUAGCGUUGGGAAACUGGCGGUAAUACCGGAUAACGUCUUCGGACCAAAAGUGUGAUUCUGCCUGAGGAUGAGUCUACGACCUAUUAGCUAGUUGGCGGGGUAAUGGCCCACCAAGGCGACGAUGGGUAGCGGGUGUGAGAGCAUGGCCCGCCUCACUGGGACUGAGACACUGCCCAGACAUCUACGGAUGGCUGCAGUCGAGAAUCUUUGUCAAUGGACGAAAGUCUGAACAAGCGACGCCGCGUGCGGGAUGAAGGCCCUCGGGUUGUAAACCGCUGUCGUAAGGGAGCAAAUCUAUUGGGGUUCUCCCCUUUAGUUGAGCAAUCUUAGGAGGAAGGACGGGCUAAGUUCGUG